AAUACUCGUACAUCUCAGAAUGACUGACACCUGGAAACGGCGUGUUCCUGCACAUUUGAUGCAUGAAAUGACAUCUAAAAUGACUCAGUCAGAAUGAGUACAAAUUAAUUAUAAUUAGGAUAUCAGUAGUUAGUUGGGAGAGUGAUUCAGCAGACAAAAUUACCCAAGGUCAGUGAAAAAUAAAGCUGAAAUUUGAGCAUAAAAUAUUUAAGUAGGUGUGUCCUUGAAUUAAACAAUUUAUUAAAUGUGGGUGCAGUUUGUGAAAUGAGUUGGUCAUGUGCAGUCUGUUGUUUGUUUGUUUCAAAUUUAUCUAUGGUUUUGGAGUUAUUGUUAAAAGUUGGCAGAAGUAAUUCAGUUCAAUUAUAAAAUCGAAUACAUUUUCGUAGGAGUGGAUGACGCAUGUUGUACUGUAAAAUGAGUUCAGAUUUCAGCAUGUGUGAAUAAGUCACUGGGUGGGAACUCACAGAACGACACCAUCCUACACACUUGCAGAUAAACAGGUAGAGCUUUACAGGAAUUUUAGCCACUAUAUGUUAACAUGCGGAAAAGACUAGUCUGUCACUAUGGGUGUUUUGCUUGUUUCGAUUACAUAUUUGGCUGGACUUCUAAAAUUGUUGGCACAUAUGGCACACUGCUAAUCUAGUGUUGUUGAGGUGUUUGGUACAUGCUGUAUGCUGCCAAUUAGCAUACUGAACAUAUUCAGUCAUAAUUAUAUAAUCCUGUGCAUCACCACUGUGCAUGUUGUUUCCGAGAGUCCAACUUGUAUUUGUUCUUAAUAGAAAACAUGCUGUCUAACUAAAAUAUGAAGUAUAUAUAAAAUGUUAAAUGUAUUUUUAAAUUUGAUGUCAACUAUACGUAAAAUGCAAGGGACUUCACAAAUACGUAAAAUGCAAGUCACUUCACAAAUAAUUAUUACAAAGAAACAUAAGCAAAAUCUUGCUUUGUUUACAGUGAGUGAAAAAAAAAUCAGGCAGUAUAAGUUUAAACCAUAAAACAACAAAAAUUGCUUAAAGACAGUAAACAUAUUGUGGUUUGUGAGUAAUGUUGGUUAAAGGGAUAGUUCACACAAAAGUAUAAAUUACCCCAUGAUUUACUCAAUGUCAAGGCAUCCUAGCUGUAUAUGAUUUUCUUCUUUCAGAUGAAUCCAAUUUGAGUUAUAUAAUAAUAAUUAGGGGUAUCAUGAUAUACCGGUAUUGGCGAUAACCGUGAUAUUCAAAGAAACAAUUGUCGAUAUCAUGUUAAUUUAGUGUGUGACGAUUUACCGGUAUUAGCGAUAACAGCAAUAUUUUAAAUGACCACUUCUCUUAUGAUAACACCACAUGUAAAUACUCCAUCGCCAGUACAUGGUUAAGCUCCCAGGUGGCAGUAUUCUGCUUUAACGCUGACACCUGUCACCUCUCCGAGGACAGCUGUGUUCAUCAGAGAAAUUCAAAGAAGAUGGAGAAAGACAGAGUCUUGUGCCCUGCAUUUAUAAGUAUCCUUAUGUUUGUUGGGUAAAAAAAAAAAACUUAAUUACAAAGUAAAAAAUUAAUUGACUGAUAUAAUUUGCCCCUAAGGUUUCUAUAGAUAUAACGAUAUAUCAAUAUUGUGAAUUCUUAUGGCCAGUAUAACCAUAAUAUAAAAAGUCUAACACUGUGACAGCCCCAAAGUGCAAAGUGCCUGGAAUAACUCUCCACAUGUCUAAGAACUGACAUAGCGGCUGAAUCACUCCAAUCGCUGUUGCUAGUGUUGUUCUUUGUAGACCAGAGCCUUGCCAUGGUGAGGCUAAAUACCCUGGUGGGGAAAUGGUUUGCGGAGGAUAACACUGGGAGGCCAUCAUAGGCACAGACAGUGGCUCUGUGCUUCUGUGAGGCAGGGAACAAGGCAAACAUAAUGAAAGAUGUGGUGCUUGUGAGCAAGGCCUCCAGUGAGUUCUCUCCUCUUCUUGGCAGGUCCGUCAGUACAAAGGUUUGGCAGCCGAGGGUGGUCCGCUGUCAUGGACGAGAUUCCUCCUCUGUCUGUGACAACUUUUCCCGGAUCCCAUCCACUGCUGGGGGCGAAAAUAGUGUCGAAGAGCUGCGGAGGCUCCUUAGUCAUUCUCUUACUGGAGUGGGAUGCAGAUGAGAAGUGUGAUCUCGAUGGUGGAUGGAAUGGCUGCCGGGGCAUCAGGUGACACAUCGUCUUAGAUCACUUUUCCAACUCUUGCCUACCGUAGCAAUAGGAGCACAGAAGAUGCAGGUCCACCACCAUCAUGCUGGACACCGGGGUACCACAGGGCUGUGCUGAGCCCAUUCCCCUACUCCCUCUACACCCACCACUGCAGGCUUGUGCAUGAAUCCAAUUCCAUCAUACAUUUUGCAGAUGACACCACAGUGAUUGGCCUCAUCAGAGACUACAAUAAGAUUGCCUAGAGGGAGGAGAUACAGCACCUGGCCGCAUGGUGUGCUGUAGGGCUGUCAACCAAUAUUCUAAAUUCGAAUAUAUAUUAGAAUAGUAAAAAAAAAAAAAAAAACUAAUUUCGAAGGUGAAAAUUAACAUUCAAAUAAAAAAAAUGUGGAAAAAUUGUCCACGGUAGUAGAGGCGUGGCUGUCUGCUUUGCGAGUGAGCGCGCUAGCGCCUGAGGGUUCAGCGACAGGUCACUGAAAGUUGACGUGUCUUGCAAGGAAGAUGGCAGAAAGUGCAGAGCCCAACUCGACC